rnacentral:tRNA from 1 species
UCCCUGGUGGCUCAGUUGGUAAAGAAUCUGUCUGCAGUGCAGAAGACCUGGGUUAGAUCCCUGGGCUGGGAA